UAAACCCUAGCCGCCGGUGGCGUGCUAGCUCAAAUUCUCCCAAUUUCCUGACUGAAAUCAGCUAGUUUAGUUAAAAUUCAGUAGAUGGGGGCUCUGGUGCUGACAGCAGGGCGCAUGAUUCUCUCUCCCGGUCCGCACUUCGCCCGAUUAACCCUAGCCCCUCCGCUCCUUGCAGCCUCACCCGUCGCCGCGCUCCGUCCUCCUCUCCUCCCCGUUCUCUCCAGCCGCCGAGUUCGCCGCCGCCGCCGCCCUCCCCGGCGAGCUCGCCCCUUGCCAUCGCCGGGAGGAAAGUGCAGAGCCGACGCUCGCGUCGCUGCUCCGUAGAGAGGAGCACGCCAUCGAGACGACCCAAAAAGGAAACACCGCCGGCCGAAGCAUCUAUGGGGGCCCCAUGGUUGCCGGCGACCGGACGCCACCACCGCCGCCGAUGUCGUCGGCGCCCCCACGCCAUGCUUCCGAACAGGAGGAGGAUGGCCACGAGUUUGCAGUGGAGGGGGGCGCAUCCAUCGGCCGAGAUCGUGAACACUGCCCUUGACGGCGUGCUGGUGGUGGCCUGAGUACCAUCUGUCGGAGAGGAGAAAGGCAUGCCUACCCCUUCUUGAGAGCGGUCGUGUACAAGGCCAGAACGACAAAGCCGCUCCCACUGCUCCCCAGUGCAGAGGAUUGCAUAUAGGCUCUAUGACGCAGAUUGUCAGGUCGCCGGUGGUCCGUUGGUUGAUGAAUUUUGCUUAUCUUCAAUGUUCUAUGUAGCAUGCCAGUAAUGCUUCCUCACCUGCUUGAAAAAGAAGCUGACUAUUGCAUAUCUGGUCAACCUUUCCUAGUCUUAUGAUAAGGUUAUAAGGGUUGACUGCUCAUAGAAGGUUAUUGUUCAAUCCAUGGAUACAGUCUAGCAUCUUAUGAUAAGAAGAGAAUAUGCUAAGGUAUCACUUCACUUACGCAAACCUUUUUUUUCUUCUCUCUGACAUGUCCAUUGGUGUUGGGCACCAUUAGUGCUCCAGCUUAUGCUGUGUUUGUUUUGCAAGCUGUCGCUGUGUUGUAAUCUUUCAGUUGUUCCUUUGCAUUAUGUGGGAGACGCCACAAUCUAUCAAGUAGCUAUCUGCAAUUCUUUUUACCAAGGCACUUAUACUUUCUUAUAGAUAAAUUGCUUCUAUACUCCAAUACCUCCAAUAUCAGCCUCCAAAGUUAAGCAUUCCAGGUUCUCAGUGUGCAUCACUUUUCCCUCUUGCCGACAGAAAAUUAUCUAUGAAAGAAACCUUAUUAUUAGUUCAUGAUGGAAAGAAACCUUGUACUGUUACAUGAAUGGCAUCCAUGUGCUGACACCAUUGAGCUUAAUUUAGAUAUGUGGAUGUAGUCUUUCUGUUUGUGUGUAAGAUAAUUACUUUAUCUAUUUAGUUGAUCCUUGCUCUUAUUGAAAAUAGAUAGAUUAUCCGUGAUGGAAGUUGAAGUUACUGUGAUAAUUGGUUUAUCAAUUUAGCUAAUCCUUACUAUUUUUACACCCUUCAGUAAAAAAAGGUUGGUCAUUUUGAUUCCUGCUACCAAUUUGUUUGUCCUGUAAAGUGAGAUACAUAUUAUUAACUUAUUUUAUUUCAGGGAGAUACAUUGACAGGAAGUGCUCACUCGCUUGAAUUGUUUCUAUCGGGGGCAGAAUUAUUGUUGAAACAUGCCACCGUGUUUGGUCUGGGAUCUGAGCGAACCUGUCGCGCCCGACUUCGUCCUCCACUUGGUCGUAGCCAUCCACAAAAAGAGGGGAUGUCAUGACAGCCGGGUCCUCACCUGUCUCCACUCCAUAGCAUGUCAACGGCGGAGCCGCGAUAUAAAGUUGGAGCGUGCCCUUUCGUUAGUGCCGUCGUUCUCUCCUCCACGGCUGUCGUUGUCACGAGCCCAAGUAUCUUUGCUGGGUAUCGACGGCAUUGGUGGACCUAAUAGAAAAAGAAGAAAAGAGAAGAAGCAUCAAGAUAUCAUGCAAAGAUGUAUUCAAGGCUGUCUUGCAACAAUGCAUCUUCAGGGACUUGGAAGUUUCAUCUAUUAAGAGAAGCCGAUGCUUGUGCGGAUUGCUGAAUCAAUCAAGAUGGAAGCUGAUGCAAUUAGAGUCCCAUUGGUACCAUUGCCUGUGAUCGCGAUGCAGGCACUCACUCUAGGAUCUGAUGUAUUUUUUUUUGCUAAUCCCUUAUGGUAGAUUAUAGUUCAAGUAGUGAAUUCAUCCACUUCUAUACAUAUUUUCUUUUGUUGUCUGCUUUGUGUUCCUGCAACUCAGCAUGAUCACCAAAGGGACGUCUCCUAAAAAUCAAGAGAAUAACUAAUUGCAUAUGCUUUUUACUUGUGUUCCUUUUGGGAGAUUGAGAUGAUGCACACUUGAAUUAUGAGUGAAUUAUGUGUCCUUGGCUAUUGAAAAUUUUGUAUUGUA